rnacentral:lncRNA from 1 species
CCGGGGCAGGGACAGUGCACUGUAGAAGCUGAAGCCGGGAACUGAGCCGGAGAUGCGGUGCAGCGGAGGAGGAGGAGAUGAGGAAACCAAGGCCCAGGGAGUUCAGAUGAUUUGCCCAAGUUCGAAGAGAUGGAAUUUGAACACAUCUUCUAAUUUCAGAGUCAGUGUUUUUCCAUUGUACCACACACGUUUUAAUUAUACUCAUUGGAGAAAGCUUUGUUUCCUAAGUUCUAAUUAAAUGUCUCUCCCUUGGAUCAUGGAGACAAUGCCCUCCAAUCACUGGGACCCCUUUAAGUUUCUCCUCAAGAGAAGUGACUUCUCUGUAGUCCACAGACAUCUUUAUUCCCAAUUUAAGGGGAGCCCACUUGGGAUGCUUCCUCAAUCAAUAGGGUAGUUUAUCUGGAGAAUAUAUUUGUCCAUGAGAUUUUGUGGGCUGGAGGUAAUCAGCCCUUUCUAAAGCAUGACAAGUCAGAGCUGAGAAAAGACAUUUGAAGUGUUGCCAUUCAAGGAGCGGCUGUCCGCAGAGUUCCAGAGGAGUGAGGAUAUUUAUAGCACAGCUUUCUUCACAACAGGGCACCUGCCCUGAUAUGUAACCCAAGGGGCUGCUCAGAUGCCAACUAAAUACUUGAGGACAAGACGCCUUGAGCUAAUGUCCCAAAAUAUCAACCAAGUGUAGCUUUCCUUAUGAGAACCACUUCAUUCGAAUUCCUUAGCUCUUCCUGUUCUUCAGUGUCCUGUGUGGCUGACAGUCUUUUCUUGGCUGAGAUGGGACAGCAGCCUCAGUGGAAAAGUGAACGAGAAUCUUUGGACUUGUAUCGAUUUUUACUAGCCUGAAAUGUUCGAAUCAGGCCCAUUUACCAAUUUCUACUCCUCCCACUUGUAGCCAAGGCUUUUUCUCCAUGUAUUACCAGAAAGUAAGAACCACAGAAUAUUAGAGUAGGAGGGAUCUCAGAAGUCAUUUAAUUCAACCUUUCAUUUUACAUAUGAAGAACCUGAGCCCUAGAGAGAGGAAGCCCAAGCUGGAAAGCAACAGAAUUGAGAUUCAAAUCCAAGGUUUUUGAUUCCAAAGUUAAUGUUCUUUCUAAUGUGCUAUGUCUUGUUAUGAAUAAAUCUACCAUGAAUCUAAACA